rfam:Gossypium hirsutum cultivar TM-1 chromosome 23, whole genome shotgun sequence
AAUCCAUGGUGCGGGUAUUUUUGAAUCAACAUUUUGAAACGUUCCUACGACUCAUAGAAGCUUUCUCCCUCCAUUUGUUUAAAGACAACAAUCUCUCUUCUUAGUUG